AAAUCGUACCCCAAACCGACACAGGUGGUCAGGUAGAGAAUACCAAGGCGCUUGAGAGAACUCGGGUGAAGGAACUAGGCAAAAUGGUGCCGUAACUUCGGGAGAAGGCACGCUGGUGUGUAGGUGAAGCCCCUGCGGGUGGAGCUGAGACCAGUCGAAGAUACCAGCUGGCUGCAACUGUUUAUUAAAAACACAGCACUGUGCAAACACGAAAGUGGACGUAUACGGUGUGACGCCUGCCCGGUGCCGGAAGGUUAAUUGAUGGGGUUAUCCGUAAGGAGAAGCUCUUGAUCGAAGCCCCGGUAAACGGCGGCCGUAACUAUAACGGUCCUAAGGUAGCGAAAUUCCUUGUCGGGUAAGUUCCGACCUGCACGAAUGGCGUAAUGAUGGCCAGGCUGUCUCCACCCGAGACUCAGUGAAAUUGAACUCGCUGUGAAGAUGCAGUGUACCCGCGGCAAGACGGAAAGACCCCGUGAACCUUUACUAUAGCUUGACACUGAACAUUGAGCCUUGAUGUGUAGGAUAGGUGGGAGGCUUUGAAGCGUGGACGCCAGUCUGCGUGGAGCCAACCUUGAAAUACCACCCUUUAAUGUUUGAUGUUCUAACGUUGGCCCCUUAUCGGGGUUGCGGACAGUGUCUGGUGGGUAGUUUGACUGGGGCGGUCUCCUCCCAAAGCGUAACGGAGGAGCACGAAGGUUAGCUAAUCCUGGUCGGACAUCAGGAGGUUAGUGCAAUGGCAUAAGCUAGCUUGACUGCGAGCGUGACGGCGCGAGCAGGUGCGAAAGCAGGUCAUAGUGAUCCGGUGGUUCUGAAUGGAAGGGCCAUCGCUCAACGGAUAAAAGGUACUCCGGGGAUAACAGGCUGAUACCGCCCAAGAGUUCAUAUCGACGGCGGUGUUUGGCACCUCGAUGUCGGCUCAUCACAUCCUGGGGCUGAAGUAGGUCCCAAGGGUAUGGCUGUUCGCCAUUUAAAGUGGUACGCGAGCUGGGUUUAGAACGUCGUGAGACAGUUCGGUCCCUAUCUGCCGUGGGCGCUGGAGAAUUGAGGGGGGCUGCUCCUAGUACGAGAGGACCGGAGUGGACGCAUCACUGGUGUUCGGGUUGUCAUGCCAAUGGCACUGCCCGGUAGCUAAAUGCGGAAGAGAUAAGUGCUGAAAGCAUCUAAGCACGAAACUUGCCCCGAGAUGAGUUCUCCCUGAGACUUUAAGUCUCCUGAAGGAACGUUAAAGACGAUGACGUUGAUAGGCCGGGUGUGUAAGCGCAGCGAUGCGUUGAGCUAACCGGUACUAAUGAACCGUGAGGCUUAACCUUACAACGCCGAAG
rnacentral:rRNA from 1 species